rnacentral:snRNA from 1 species
UAACUUGCGCAGAGGCAAUAUCGUAACCAAUGAAGGCCACCGAAGGUGCGAUUAUUGCCAGUUGAAAACUUCGACGAAUACCCCCUCCGAGGCGCCGUGAUACACUAACUUCAUAAUUUUUUAGGUGCCACGGUAGC